rnacentral:rRNA from 1 species
AGUCGUGCGAGAAGUAUCUUCGGAUAUGAGUAGAGCGGCGGACGGGUGAGUAACGCGUAGGAAUCUACCUAGUAGAAGGGGAUAGCCCGGGGAAACCCGGAUUAAUACCGUAUACCUCCUUUGGGAGAAAGAAGGCCUCUCUUUGAAGCUUUCGCUACUAGAUGAGCCUGCGUAAGAUUAGCUUGUUGGUGAGGUAAAGGCUCACCAAGGCGACGAUCUUUAGCUGGUCUGAGAGGACGAUCAGCCACAUUGGGACUGAGACACGGCCCAGACUCCUACGGGAGGCAGCAGUGGGGAAUAUUGGACAAUGGGCGCAAGCCUGAUCCAGCCAUACCGCGUGUGUGAAGAAGGCCUUCGGGUUGUAAAGCACUUUAAGCAGGGAGAAAAAGUUAUAAGUUAAUACCUUAUAACCCUGAUGUUACCUGCAGAAUAAGCACCGGCUAAUUCCGUGCCAGCAGCCGCGGUAAUACGGAAGGUGCAAGCGUUAAUCGGAAUUACUGGGCGUAAAGCGCGCGUAGGUGGUUUGUUAAGUUGGAUGUGAAAGCCCUGGGCUCAACCUAGGAACUGCAUCCAAAACUAACUCACUAGAGUACGAUAGAGGGAGGUAGAAUUCAUAGUGUAGCGGUGGAAUGCGUAGAUAUUAUGAAGAAUACCAGUGGCGAAGGCGGCCUCCUGGAUCUGUACUGACACUGAGGUGCGAAAGCGUGGGUAGCGAACAGGAUUAGAUACCCUGGUAGUCCACGCCGUANACGAUGACAACUAGCUGUUGGGAGACAAUGUCUUUCAGUGGCGCAGCUAACGUUUUAAGUUGUCCGCCUGGGGAGUACGGCCGC